rnacentral:rRNA from 1 species
CCAGCAUUCAGUUGGGCGACUUAAUGAGACUGCCGGUGACAAGCCGGAGGAAGUGGGGAUGACGUCAAGUCCUCAUGGCCCUUAUAGGUGGGGCUACACACGUCAUACAAUGGCUGGUACAAAGGGUUGCCAACCCGCGAGGGGGAGCUAAUCCCAUAAAGCCAGUCGUAGUCCGGAUCGUAGUCUGCAACUCGACUACGUGAAGUCGGAAUCGCUAGUAAUCGUGGAUCAGAAUGUCACGGUGAAUACGUUCCCGGGUCUU